rnacentral:rRNA from 1 species
GAUGAACGCUAGCUACAGGCUUAACACAUGCAAGUCGAGGGGCAGCAGGAACUUAGCUUGCUAAGUUUGCUGGCGACCGGCGCACGGGUGAGUAACGCGUAUCCAACCUGCCCAUUACUCAGGGAUAGCCCUGCGAAAGUAAGAUUAAUACCUGAUGUUGUUAGAGACCCGCAUGAGUUUUUUAACUAAAGAUUUAUUGGUAAUGGAUGGGGAUGCGUAACAUUAGGUAGUUGGUGAGGUAACGGCUCACCAAGCCUACGAUGUUUAGGGUUCUGAGAGGAAGGUCCCCCACACUGGAACUGAGACACGGUCCAG